AUUCCAGCUCCAAUAGCGUAUAUUUAAGUUGUUGCAGUUAAAAAGCUCGUAGUCGGACUUUGGCUGAGAACGGUCGGUCCGCCGUUAGGUGUGCACUGACUGGUCUCAGCUUCCUGGUGAGGAGGUGUGCUUCACGGCCACUUAGUCACCGUGGUUACUUUGAAAAAAUUAGAGUGUUCAAAGCGGGCUUACGCUUGAAUAUAUUAGCAUGGAAUAACACCAUAGGACUCCUGUCCUAUUUCGUUGGUCUCGGGACGGGAGUAAUGAUUAAGAGGAACAGUUGGGGGCAUUCGUAUUUCAUUGUCAGAGGUGAAAUUCUUGGAUUUAUGAAAGACGAACUUCUGCGAAAGCAUUUGCCAAGGAUGUUUUCAUUA
rnacentral:rRNA from 1 species